rnacentral:rRNA from 1 species
UUAUUUGAGAGUUUGAUCCUGGCUCAGGAUGAACGCUGGCGGCGUGCCUAACACAUGCAAGUUGAGCGAUUUACUUCGGUAAAGAGCGGCGGACGGGUGAGUAACGCGUGGGUAACCUACCCUGUACACACGGAUAACAUACCGAAAGGUAUGCUAAUACGGGAUAACAUAUUUGAGAGGCAUCUCUUGAAUAUCAAAGGUGAGCCAGUACAGGAUGGACCCGCGUCUGAUUAGCUAGUUGGUAAGGUAACGGCUUACCAAGGCGACGAUCAGUAGCCGACCUGAGAGGGUGAUCGGCCACAUUGGAACUGAGACACGGUCCAAACUCCUACGGGAGGCAGCAGUGGGGAAUAUUGCACAAUGGGCGAAAGCCUGAUGCAGCAACGCCGCGUGAGUGAUGAAGGC